AAACAGCUCUGUGUCUGGAAUGAGCCCUCCUAGAAUUCAGUACCAUAAAACUGAAGACAUGUAAAUCUGCUCAUGUAAAUCCUCCACUGCAUAGCCUUUUGUGUGGAGCAUUUAUCCGGACUGAUGGCAAAAACGCAAACCAAAAUCAUGGUAUUCUGAAGACCAGAGAUAGGGACUGAUAUCAUAUGGAAAUGCCAGCUCAGAAGAUGUGGUGAGCUUUGAUAAUUCAGGAAUUGACUGACAGAAGGAGGACCUCAUUUGGGCAGAACUUCACAAACCCUAAGGAUUCAUCUCUGGACAAUGAGCAAAUCUUCACUGGCUUCACUUUAGCUCAGCACCUAAUGCAGUGUUUGGUUCUGAAAAGCCUCCUUUGUGUGUGAGGAACUGUUCUGAAAUCUCCCGACAAGAAGAAUGGCUCCCAAAACCCAGUUGUGUCUCUGGGUGUGUAAGCCCAGCAGCAGGCAGUGUGUCAUCGCUGUGUCAGUUCUAUGGUGUGAUGUGCGGAACUGGUACUGGAAUGUAGACAUCAAGGCUGGUUCUUCGGCUCUCCCAAAGGCCAAAGAUAUCUAUUUAAAUAUCAUUUAAAUAAACCCCUUUAUUGCUUAAAUCAUGGUGUUAUUUAACCACACUGUGUCAAG
rnacentral:lncRNA from 1 species